rnacentral:rRNA from 1 species
AGACAGCAGCAGCCGCGGUAAUACAGAGGGUGCGAGCGUUAAUCGGAUUUACUGGGCGUAAAGCGUGCGUAGGCGGCUUCUUAAGUCGGAUGUGAAAUCCCUGAGCUUAACUUAGGAAUUGCAUUCGAUACUGGGAAGCUAGAGUAUGGGAGAGGAUGGUAGAAUUCCAGGUGUAGCGGUGAAAUGCGUAGAGAUCUGGAGGAAUACCGAUGGCGAAGGCAGCCAUCUGGCCUAAUACUGACGCUGAGGUACGAAAGCAUGGGGAGCAAACAGGAUUAGAUACCCGAGUAGUCCCUGUCUCUUAUAC